rnacentral:rRNA from 1 species
GGGGAAUAUUGCGCAAUGGGGGAAACCCUGACGCAGCAAUACCGCGUGAGUGAAGAAGGUUUUCGGAUUGUAAACUUCUUUAGUCAGGGACGAAUAAAUGACGGUACCUGAAGAAUAAGCCACGGCUAACUACGUGCCAGCAGCCGCGGUAAUACGUAGGUGGCGAGCGUUGUCCGGAAUUACUGGGUGUAAAGGGCGUGUAGGCGGGAAUGUAAGUCAGAUGUGAAAUCCCAGGGCUUAACUCUGGAGCUGCAUCUGAAACUAUGUUUCUUGAGUGUCGGAGAGGAAAGCGGAAUUCCUAGUGUAGCGGUGAAAUGCGUAGAUAUUAGGAGGAACACCGGUGGCGAAGGCGGCUUGCUGGACAAAUACUGACGCUGAGGUGCGAAAGCGUGGGGAGCAAACA